rnacentral:rRNA from 1 species
UACGAAGGGGGCUAGCGUUGUUCGGAUUUACUGGGCGUAAAGCGCGUGUAGGUGGGUCGUUAAGUGUCCGCGUGAAAUCCCACGGCUCAACCGUGGAACUGCCGGGCAUAAUGGCGAUCUUGAGGCAUUCAGGGGCGAGCGGAACAAAUGGUGGAGCGGUGAAAUUCGUAGAUAUUCGCAAGAACACCAGUGGCGAAGGCGGCUCACUGGCCCGGUACUGACGCUGAGGUGCGAAAGCGUGGGGAGCAAACAGG